GAUGAACGCUGGCGGCGUGCCUAAUACAUGCAAGUCGAGCGAAUGGAUUAAGAGUUUGCUCUUAUGAAGUUAGCGGCGGACGGGUGAGUAACACGUGGGCAAACUGCCCAUUAGACUGGGAUACCUUCGGGAAACCGGGGCGCAAACCGAAUAACAUUUUGCACCGCCCGGUUCGAAAUCGAAAUGCGGCUUCUGCGUCCCAUUCUGGAUAGACCCGCGUCGCAUUAGGUUGUUGGUGAGGUAACGGCUCACCAAGGCAACGAUGCGUAGCCGACCUGAGAGGGUGAUCGGCCACACUGGGACUGAGAGACGGCCCAGACUCCUACGGGAGGCAGCAGUAGGGAAUCUUCCGCAAUGGAGGAAAGUCUGACGGAGCAACGCCGCGUGAGUGAUGAAGGCUUUCGGGUCGUAAAACUCUGUUGUUAGGGAAGAACAAGUGCUAGUUGAAUAAGCUGGCACCUUGACGGUACCUAACCAGAAAGCCACGGCUAACUACGUGCCAGCAGCCGCAGUAA
rnacentral:rRNA from 1 species